rnacentral:rRNA from 1 species
AUGGCCACCUCGACCCGAGCACCGCUCCCGCCGUCCGACCCCGAGAAGGAGAAGCCGCUCGCCCGCUCCGCACCGGCAACCGCUCCCGCGUACCUCGCGAAUCCAGGGAAGAAGACGCACCGCCGGGUGCCGAUGACGGACGAGGAGCGGGGGAGGAUCAACCGCCUGAAGGAGCUGCACGCGUCAGGGAUCGAGGAGCUGCACGAGCUGAUGGAGAUACAUAAGGAGCUGCGCGACUACCACGACGAGCUUCUGUUCCGGCGGAGGUGCCUGGCCGCACGCCUGGUCAGCCGGAUCGCCUUCCAGCGCCGCGACGCCGCCUAUAUCAGGCAUCAGCUUGGCCUUGGCCUGAAGGUGGGGGAUAAGCUGCCGGAGGAGCUCAAGCAGUCCAGGCCGCCGAUCUCGAUGGCCCUUUUCUUGUGGCAUGAAAUGGGCAGGGCCUUGUACAUCGGCAUGGAUAACUUCAUGGAUGAGUACAGCAACACCGAGGAGUACCGGAGAGGGAUGCUGGCGUUGGUGCCCGGGGCUGUCCCUGAUGAGAACGGAGCCCCGCCAGAUUGUGUUGCCCCCCAAGAGUAG